CAUAUCCUGACAUCUAAUCCACCCCACAUUUUAGGUGCGUGAACUACGCACUUAUAAAUGCAAAAAGUUGUAGAAUUAAAUGUCAGAGUGCGUCUAACAAUUACCUUUUAAAAUUUGCCCAGGCUUCCCAAAAUUUCUGGUUCCGCCACAGGCUCCGCCGAUGUCCUUACCGUCGGAUGCCAUCGUGAAGGCAGAGGUAAAUUCAUCCACUCACUUUCUCAGCAACACUUCAAUAAUCAAAACUUGGCUCUGUUUUUCAUGCAUUACACUAUAUAAUCUCCGAUUUUGGUAGAGAUGAUUUUUUUUUCAGUUUGAUUCUACGAUCAAUGUAAUUUCUGCGUUUUGCUUGAAAUUGAAACCAUGGAAGAAGCAAAUUCACUAUUUAAUCUGAUUGAAUAUCGUUUCUUCAAUGUGAAUUUAAGUGUGAAAUUUUCCAUUUUGAUUGCUGGAAAGAAACUAGAAUGCAUGUUUUGUUUUAGGCUUCAAUUUCCUGUUUACUGCUUUGGUUCAUGCAUGGGCAUCUUUUACACUAACAGUGAAAGCCAAUUGAAGAGAAGGAUUGGGAACAUUUCAAUUUUGCUAUUGGUUGUUAUUAGGUUCAUUCAUAGCUUGUUGAUUUUGUACUGUUGGCGUUGUUGCGUAUCGACUCGUGCAAUGUUAUAGCUAACACAUUAAAUAUCCCGCCUGGGGAGUACGUUCGCAAGAAUGAAACUCAAAGGAAUUGACGGGGACCCGCACAAGCGAUGGAGCUUGUGGUUUAAUUUAACGCAAAGCAAAUAACCUUACUAGGGCUUGACAUGCCGCGAGUCCUCUUGAAAGAGAGGGGUGUCUUCGGGAACGGUGACACGAGUGGUGCAUGGCUGUGUAGAGAGCACCCAAUGUUGUUGUACUGCUGUCUUUUUGUUUCCUGUUACUGACUUGGCUCAUUCCUUCGUAUAGCUGGUUCUGAUUGUAGCUUAUAUUCUAUUGUUAUAUCACCCUAUGGCUCUUAUACCAUCUUAAUCAUGAAAUCCCUUACUUUUCAUUCUUUAAGGAUUUAUACCCUCAUCUUUGUGUGUUUGUUGCCUGGAUCUGGAUUCGCUGCAGUCGGCCUUAAUUGUCGUCCGAUCAAUAAUAUGGCUCAGAUUUAAAUAUAUAUAUAUAUAUAUUCCAGUUUAAUCUGAUUGUCUCUGUUUUUUCAUGCAUUACACUAUAUAUAUAUAUAUAUAUAUAUAUAUAUAUAUAUUCCAGUUUGAUUCUACGAACAAUGAAAUCUCUGUGUUUUGCUUGAAAUUGAAACCAUGGAAGAAGUAAAUUGCUCAUUUGUGGUAUAAUUCACUAUUUAAUCUGAUUGAAUAUCGUUUCUUCCAUGUGAAAUUAAGCGUGGAAUUUUCCAUUUUGAUUGAUUAUCAUUUCUUUUUCUUUCUUUGUGUUGGGUAUCUGGCUCUGAACACUGAUUGCUGGAAAGAAUCUAGAGUGCAUGUUUUGUUUUAGGCUUCAAUUUCCUGUUUACUGCUUUGGUUCAUGCAUGGGCAUCUUUUACACUAACAGUGAAAGCCAAUUAAAGAUAAGGAGAAGAAAAAAAAGUUAAGGUAUUGGGAACAUUUCAAUUUUGCUCUUGGUUGUUAUUAGGUUUAUAGCUUGUUGAUUUUGUACUGUUGGCAUUGCUGUGUAUCGACCCGUGCAAUGUUGUNNNNN
rnacentral:lncRNA from 1 species